GGUCCUGGACACAAGCUGGGUUCCUCCAACAGGCUGCUUGACUCCCAGGGCUAGAGCUGCUGCUAGGACCCACUGAAAGGUCCUGGCUAGGGUGGUUCUGUUUCAGGAACCAGGUGCACCCUUAGCGUCUCCUCAACUGUCCCUGCAUAAACAGUGCCUGGCCCUCAUUCUGAGCCAUGUGGCUGAGCAGACCUCCGGAGGUCUGAUUCACACAGGCUGUGCCGCCACCUGCUGGAUCCAUCUGGUUGGAGUAGCCAGAAAACACCAAGUUGAAGAUGCUAUUAUGAUUCCAUCCUGACUUCCCUGGGCAGACGACCUCACCAAUAUGUCCUAGAACCUCAUCUCCUCAGAGCCCCUGUCCCACUAGGGAAAAAGAGAGAGGCUGGAGGUGUGGAUCCACCUGCCAAUGUCCAUGUCCAGCAGAGAAGCAAUUACAGAAGCCAGAACUCCCACCUUCCGCUCCCCAUAGAGAAUUUUGCAGUUAUUUUUUUUUUCCAAAUGAUUUAAUAAGAAAAAAAAGAAGUGAU